rnacentral:snRNA from 1 species
AAUAAAAGUUACAGCUACAGC